AACGAACGCUGGCGGCGCGCCUAAUACAUGCAAGUCGAGCGAGAAGGUGUAGCAAUACACUUGUAAAGCGGCGAACGGGUGAGGAAUACAUGGGUAACCUACCCUCGAGUGGGGAAUAACUAGCCGAAAGGUUAGCUAAUACCGCAUACGAUUCCAGCACUUCGGUGCUGGAAGGAAAGCACUACCGUGGGUAGUGCGCUCCUGGAUGGGCUCAUGUCCUAUCAGCUGUUGGUGAGGUAAUGGCUCACCAAGGCUUCGACGGGUAGCUGGUCUGAGAGGACGAUCAGCCACACUGGCACUGCGACACGGGCCAGACUCCUACGGGAGGCAGCAGUAAGGAAUAUUGCGCAAUGGGCGACAGCCUGACGCAGCGACGCCGCGUGGGGGAAGAAGGCUUUCGGUU
rnacentral:rRNA from 1 species